rnacentral:rRNA from 1 species
GAUGAACGCUGGCGGCGUGCCUAACACAUGCAGGUCGAGCGAUUCUCUUCGGAGAAGAGCGGCGGACGGGUGAGUAACGCGUGGGUAACCUGCCCUGUACACACGGAUAACAUACCGAAAGGUAUGCUAAUACGAGAUAAUAUGCUUUUAUUGCAUGGUAGAAGUAACAAAGCUCCGGCGGUACAGGAUGGACCCGCGUCUGAUUAGCUAGUUGGUAAGGUAACGGCUUACCAAGGCGACGAUCAGUAGCCGACCUGAGAGGGUGAUCGGCCACAUUGGAACUGAGACACGGUCCAAACUCCUACGGGAGGCAGCAGUGGGGAAUAUUGCACAAUGGGCGAAAGCCUGAUGCAGCAACGCCGCGUGAGCGAUGAAGGCCUUCGGGUCGUAAAGCUCUGUCCUCAAGGAAGAUAAUGACGGUACUUGAGGAGGAAGCCCCGGCUAACUACGUGCCAGCAGCCGCCGUAA